AACAACAAUGACGAGAACAACAACAAUAACGACAACACCAACAACAAGGACAACAACAACAACGACAACAACAACGACAACAACAACAACAACAACAACAACAACAACGAAGACUACAAUAAUGACGAUGACGACGACGGUGACGGCGACGGCGACGACAACAACGACAACUAAAACAACAACAACAAUAACAACAACAACAACAACAACAACAACAACAACAACAACAACAACAACAACCACGACGACGACAACAACGACGACGAGGACGAUAAUGAUGACGACGACGACGAUGAAGACCAAGAAGACGAUGGCGACAG
rnacentral:lncRNA from 1 species